rnacentral:rRNA from 1 species
AGUGAACGCUGGCGGUAGGCCUAACACAUGCAAGUCGAACGGCAGCACAGUAAGAGCUUGCUCUUACGGGUGGCGAGUGGCGGACGGGUGAGGAAUACAUCGGAAUCUACUUUUUCGUGGGGGCUAACGUAGGGAAACUUACGCUAAUACCGCAUACGACCUACGGGUGAAAGCAGUGGAUCUUCGGACCUUGCGCGAUUGAAUGAGCCGAUGUCGGAUUAGCUAGUUGGCGGGGUAAAGGCCCACCAAGGCGACGAUCCGUAGCUGGUCUGAGAGGAUGAUCAGCCACACUGGAACUGAGACACGGUCCAGACUCCUACGGGAGGCAGCAGUGGGGAAUAUUGGACAAUGGGCGCAAGCCUGAUCCAGCCAUGCCGCGUGGGUGAAGAAGGCCUUCGGGUUGUAAAGCCCUUUUGUUGGGAAAGAAAAGCAGCAGGUUAAUACCCCGCUGUUCUGACGGUACCAAAAGAAUAAGCACCGGCUAACUUCGUG